CCGAAAGAUGGUGAACUAUACUUGAUCAGGUUGAAGUCAGGGGAAACCCUGAUGGAAGACCGAAACAGUUCUGACGUGCAAAUCGAUUGUCAGAAUUGAGUAUAGGGCGAAAGACCAAUCGAACCAUCUAGUAGCUGGUUCCUUCCGAAGUUUCCCUCAGGAUAGCUGGUGCAUUUUAAUGUUAUAUAAAAUAAUCUAUCUGGUAAAGCGAAUGAUUAGAGGCCUUAGGGUCGAAAACGAUCUUAACCUAUUCUCAAACUUUAAAUGGGUAAGAACCUUAACUUUCUUGAUAUGAAGUUUAAGGUUAUGAUAUAAUGUGCCCAGUGGGCCACUUUUGGUAAGCAGAACUGGCGCUGUGGGAUGAACCAAACGUAAUGUUACGGUGCCCAAAUUAACAACUCAUGCAGAAACCAUGAAAGGCGUUGGUUGCUUAAAACAGCAGGACGGUGAUCAUGGAAGUCGAAAUCCGCUAAGGAGUGUGUAACAACUCACCUGCCGAAGCAACUAGCCCUUAAAAUGGAUGGCGCUUAAGUGUAUACCUAUACAUUACCGCUAAAGUAGAUGAUUUAUAUUACUUGUGAUAUAAAUUUUGAAACUUUAGUGAGUAGGAAGGUACAAUGGUAUGCGUAGAAGUGUUUGGCGUAAGCCUUCAUGGAGCUGCCAUUGGCACAGAUCUUGGUGGUAGUAGCAAAUAAUCGAAUGAGACCUUGGAGGACUGAAGUGGAGAAGGGUUUCGUGUGAACAGUGGUUGAUCACGAGUUAGUCGGUCCUAAGUUCAAGGCGAAAGCCGAAAAUUUUCAAGUAAAAAAUCAGUGAGUAAUAUGUCAAAUCUUUAUGAUUUUAAAUACUUGAAUAAUUUUGAACGAAAGGGAAUACGGUUCCAAUUCCGUAACUGUUGAGUAUCCGUUUGUUAUUAAAUAUGGGCCUCGUGCUCAUCCUGGCAACAGGAACGACCAUAAAGAAGCCGUCGAGAGAUAUCGGAAGAGUUUCUUUUCUGUUUUAUAGCCGUACUACCAUGGAAGUCUUUCGCAGAGAGAUAUGGUAGAUGGGCUAGAAGAGCAUGACAUAUACUGUUGUGUCGAUAUUUUCUCCUCGGACCUUGAAAAUUUAUGGUGGGGACACGCAAACUUCUCAACAGGCCGUACCAAUAUCCGCAGCUGGUCUCCAAGGUGAAGAGUCUCUAGUCGAUAGAAUAAUGUAGGUAAGGGAAGUCGGCAAAUUAGAUCCGUAACUUCGGGAUAAGGAUUGGCUCUGAAGAUUGAGAUAGUCGGGCUUGAUUGGGAAACAAUAACAUGGUUUAUGUGCUCGUUCUGGGUAAAUAGAGUUUCUAUCAUUUAUGGUAGUUACUUGUUCCCCGGAUAGUUUAGUUACGUAGCCAAUUGUGGAACUUUCUUGCUAAAAUUUUUAAGAAUACUAAUUGGGUUAAACCAGUUAGUUCUUAUUAAUUAUAACGAUUAUCAAUUAACAAUCAAUUCAGAACUGGCACGGACUUGGGGAAUCCGACUGUCUAAUUAAAACAAAGCAUUGUGAUGGCCCUAGCGGGUGUUGACACAAUGUGAUUUCUGCCCAGUGCUCUGAAUGUCAAAGUGAAGAAAUUCAAGUAAGCGCGGGUCAACGGCGGGAGUAACUAUGACUCUCUUAAGGUAGCCAAAUGCCUCGUCAUCUAAUUAGUGACGCGCAUGAAUGGAUUAACGAGAUUCCUACUGUCCCUAUCUACUAUCUAGCGAAACCACAGCCAAGGGAACGGGCUUGGAAUAAUUAGCGGGGAAAGAAGACCCUUUUGAGCUUGACUCUAAUCUGGCAGUGUAAGGAGACAUAAGAGGUGUAGCAUAAGUGGGAGAUAUUAGAUUUCGGUUUGGUAUCGACAAUGAAAUACCACUACUCUUAUUGUUUCCUUACUUACUUGAUUAAAUGGAACGUGUAUCAUUCCUAGCCAUUAUACGGAUAGUUAUUAUAUCUUAUGGUAUUGGGUUUUGAUGCAAGCUCUUGAUCAAAGUAUCACGAGUUUGUUAUAUAAUCGCAAACAAAUUCUUUAAUGAGAAAAUGCAUUUAUGUAUUUUCAAUUUGAAAAUUUGGUAUAACUCCAAUUACUCAGGUAUGAUCCAAUUCAAGGACAUUGCCAGGUAGGGAGUUUGACUGGGGCGGUACAUCUCUCAAAUAAUAACGGAGGUGUCCCAAGGCCAGCUCAGUGCGGACAGAAACCACACAUAGAGCAAAAGGGCAAAUGCUGACUUGAUCUCGGUGUUCAGUACACACAGGGACAGCAAAAGCUCGGCCUAUCGAUCCUUUUGGUUUAAAGAGUUUUUAACAAGAGGUGUCAGAAAAGUUACCAUAGGGAUAACUGGCUUGUGGCGGCCAAGCGUUCAUAGCGACGUCGCUUUUGAUCCUUCGAUGUCGGCUCUUCCUCAUUGUGAAGCAAAAUUCACCAAGCGUUGGAUUGUUCACCCAUGCAAGGGAACGUGAGCUGGGUUUAGACCGUCGUGAGACAGGUUAGUUUUACCCUACUAAUGACAAAACGUUGUUGCGACAGCAUUCCUGCGUAGUACGAGAGGAACCGCAGGUACGGACCAAUGGCACAAUACUUGUUCGAGCGAACAGUGGUAUGACGCUACGUCCGUUGGAUUAUGCCUGAACGCCUCUAAGGUCGUAUCCGUGCUGGACUGCAAUGAUAAAUAAGGGGCAAUUUGCAUUGU
rnacentral:rRNA from 1 species